rnacentral:lncRNA from 1 species
GGCCUUGUUAUUUAAUUUAAACAGGAUGUUGCAGUUUUGAAUCAAUGUUAUUUAGAAUUUAAUACCUCUGGCCAUGUGUGAUCUUUUUUAUGAGUUUGCCCCCAAGCAGAGGUUAUACUUUAUAUUUCACCACUAAUCAGAAAAACACUUUUAUUUAUUUAUUUAAUUUUAUCCCUUUUUUAUAUAAGCUAUAUAUAAUAUAUUUUUUUAUCCUAAAUAUAAUCAGAGAUAUAUUUCUUUUAUAAGAUUAAUUUUUUUAUAAAUUUUGUUGGCUGUUGUUAUAUAUAUAUUAAGUUAAAAAGAAAUUUAUUUUAACAGUUAAAAAAGUAGAGAUUUUUUGGUCUAGUAUGGUUCAGACUGGUCGAGUAUUGUUCAGACCUUUGGUUAAGUAUGGUUUAGACUGGAAAAAUAGGUCGAGUACAUGUCGAGAAUGGGUUAAGACUGUUUCAGACUGGUCGAGUAAUAGUUCAGACUAUUUUCAACGGCAAAGAUAAGGGUCAAGUACGAUUCAGUACAGUCAAGUAUGGUUCAGACUGGGGUCGAGUAAUGUCAAG